rnacentral:lncRNA from 1 species
CCCCGCGCUGAUCAUGCGCCGUGUGGCGCUGGGCGCGCUGCAGGGGCUGAGUUCGCGGAGGCGGCUGAGACGCUGCAUUGGGCGGCUAGAAGUGCUCGGCGUGCUGGCUCCCGGGAGAGGAAGGUCCAGGGCGGGCCGGAGACAUGCACACCACAGAGCGUGGCGAUGGAACAGUAACCGGGCUUGUGAGAGGGCUCUACGGUAUCAACUAGGAGACAAGAUCCACGGAUUCACCGUAAACCAGCUAGUGAUUAUACUCUGUAUCCAUUUUCCACACAAAAUCCCAAGGACCUUCAGAAUCUCCUCUCGGUGUAUUUGGAUGCCACCUUUUUCCCAUGUUUACGCGAGCUGGAUUUCUGGCAGGAAGGAUGGUGGCUGGAACACGAGAAUCCUAGCGACCCCCAGAUGCCCUUGGUCUUUAAAGGAGUCAUCUUUAGUGAGAUGAAGGGAGGGUUUGUAAGUUUUCUUUCUUUUUAAUGUUGUGUUCAGCUUACCUUACCCAUGUGCAGUACCAUGAUACAGACACAUCUGGAAGGUGGUUGAUUUUUAUUUAAUAUUCUCAUUAUAGGUGACAUGUUCUUGAAUUAGCUGGGUCAGUGCUGUGAGCAGAAGCCAGGGGGUAGCGGGGCCAGGCUGCUGUCUCAGACCAUGUCUCAGACCAUGUCUGGCGACCCCCGUAUAUGAUCUGCAGCGAGAGAAAAGCUAUUUUCAUACCACUAUCAACACAUUGUCUUUUUCACUCAUUCUUGCCCAAGUACAUUGUGUACUUUCUAGAGGCUGUGUGGCGAGGUGUGUGACACGCAGCAAGCUGGAUACAGAGCAAAUGGGGGAGUCCAGCUUCAUCUCUGAGCCAGACACUACAGAGAUUUGCAAAAAAGGCAACACAGCAUCACUCUUAGUAGUCAGUUUUUUACUUUGUUAUGAGAAAUAUUUUUCAAACAUAUUUAUAUUAACAUGUAAUGAUGGCUUACCUUAAUGCAUAAGUAUUUUUUAAAUGUCUCAGCUUUAAUUUAGAAUAUAGAAAAAUUAUAUAAACACAAGCACCUACACAGGCAAAAAAGCCCACAUAAUCAAAAGCUCUUUGGGUCCUCAUUAAAACCCAUUUAUGCCUAGUGUUCCAUUAUUGGAAUCCUAAGCUUGUGGGAGUUAUUUAUAUCCUACAGCUCAAGGUCAUUGCCAAGGUCUGAAUUUUUACAAAAAAAAUUGCAACCUCAGGCAUAAAUGGGUUAAUUUUUCAGAGUGUAAAGGAGCCUUGAGACCAUUUUGGAUUAAAAGCUGCUGUCCUGGGCACGUGUCUUCAUGUCCCCUUGUGACUUUGACAACCUGCCUGUGCUGGUGUCCCUGAGGCUCGUGGGUGGCCUGCUCUCUGAUUCCCGUAGCCCCCCUCAGCUGGUGAACUAUUUCUUACCUUUCAUUCUCAAUUUGGUGGUCUUUUCUUCCAAGGAGUCUUCUUGAAACUCAAGUUGGGGUGAGAGCUUCUCCCCACUUCCCUCCUGGCUGGUGGGCAGACCUGGUGAUCCCUCUGAUUUACAGCCCUCGGCUGUGCGUUUGUUGCAACACACAUCAAAAAGGCCGUUGUUCUCAAUCCUUGGGUCCUGUGCAUGGGUGAUGAGUGAUUGAAUACGGUGUUAAACCAUGGCUGCAGGGGUGUCUUUUUUUUUUUUUUUAAACCAUUAGAACAGUUUUAUUUGCAAAGUAUUACAGGCAUAUGCACCAGAAUGUGAUCAAUUGCAUAUAUUGUAAGUAAUGUAGCAUGUGUGUAUUAUUUUACAUGUAUAUAUUCUUAUUUAUUUCACGUUUCAAGACAGACAAUGAGAGGAUAUUCUCCCAGCACCUUCAAAACAGACUUCUUCCCGACCACACAUACUCAGUGGUCUCCGGGGGUGACCCACUGUGCAUCCUGGAGCUUACAUGGGAGCAGCUUAAGCAAUUUCAUGCCACUCACUAUCACCCAAGCAAUGCUAGGUAAUAUUUUGUUGGAAAAGUUUGAUGGUGGAUUGUGGAAAGUUAACUUGUUUGUGUUCUUACAAUUUCAUGACAUGGCGUCUCUCACAUUUAGCAAUGCUUAGCUUCGAGCCUCUCCUUGGCACGGAGAAGUGCUCUUCCCGUAGUGGAUGCAGUCACAGAACCUUAAUCACAUCCUCACUUUCUGAUACAUCGCUUGUUUCUUAUGUCACUCAUAUAGGUCAUUAUAGUAAUAAUAUAGUUAUAUGUAUUAUAUAAAAUACUAAUAAUUUCCAUAUAAAUGCUAAUGUAAAGACAUAUUUGCAAGAUUAGUUUAUGUAAAAAGAAUUAUGAAAACUUUCAAGCAUACAGAAAAGUAGACUAGGAUAAUGAGCCCCUAAACACUUAUCACAUAAUAGAUAUCCUUUUCCUUGUGACGUUUUUGGAAGUAAGUUAUAAAUGUCAUCAUUUACUCCUAAAUAUUUGAAUUUGUGACCCUAAAACAUGAGGAUUUUUUCUUACAUGAGCUAAUGCCAUUUACAGUUUUAAUAGAAUAAAACAUACUUUCAUAAAACUGCCUAUUUCUUAUUCCAUAUUCAAAUUUUCUAGUUGGCCUCAAAGUGUUUGUGGCACAGGGUCCCACAGAUCACACCUGGUCGGCCCAGGUCUCUCCUGGGCCCCCUCUCGGACGGCAGAGGAGUGUACAGGCCGGGUUUCCUCCGGGCGCUCUCACUUUCCAGGUGUCCUGCUGCUCCUGUGUGGUGUUGGGUGCCAUGUUCCUGUGUUUCCUGAGAACUGGAACUUAGAUCCAAAGCCUUAGUUUGAGUCAGGCUGCGCCUUUUUAAGCAGAGUCCCUCGUGGGGAGCUCUGCGUAGGUGGCCACAUCCUACCUUCCUGUGAGGCCUGCUUGCCUCCACUGGGGGUCUCACGCCAGCGGGGUGCAUGCUGAGAGUCGGCCACUGUCUUGUGAAGAUCUGCUUUUUCCCUUCAGCCACAGACCAUCUGGUGCACUUGAGUUUCUGGUGUCCUGUGAUAAUUCCUCAUCAACCUAUUAAUGGUUUUCA